rnacentral:lncRNA from 1 species
CUCUUGACACGGGGUGGAGGACAUGAAACUCGGAGUAGUUUGAAUCCGAACUCCGGCCCGGCAAAGCUGUGUACCUGCAGCCGGGGCUCGGCUGCCUGCGGGGCUGGCUCCACACGGCAAAAGACCACGGGGACGGCCACGGGGUUCCCGUGCGCCAUGGGCUGGUUGAGAACUUGCUGGAGUGGGUAUUCACAAAGGCUGAGCCCCCGGCCUCGGCGCUCGGGAGCCCAGAGGCCUGGACUCUGGGGCUCGGGCCUGCAGGUGUCAAGGGGGCAGGGAGGAGGACGCUGUUCGGCCAAGCCCGAGAGUAGGCAGAGCUGAGAGCCCCUGGAGGGGGCUGGGGGCGGGGCCUGCCACUGGGGGCGGGGCCUUGGGUGGGUGGGGCAGAGCAAGCCCAUGGGGCCCUGAGGGACCCAGCACCAGGUUUGCAGAGAGCGCCUCUCUCCAGGGCAUGCCGCUCCCAGUCCCUGGCCCCUGGGUGACUUGGGAGUGUGAAGUGCUCCUGGAGACAGGCGACCCUGGGGUGGCGGGCGCGCGCCUGUCCCCGCAGGGCUCCCCUGUUCUCACUUCUGAGCCGGCCUGGUCCUAUUUUUUCUUUUUCUAAGAAAUGAAUGGUAAAUAAUGCUUCUCAGGCACAUCAAAUGUCUUGUUCCAAUACAUGCUUUCUUCUCAUCAUCACCAUUAUUUACAGAGUUGUUCAGGAGAGCAGGAGGGAGAAGAAGUCUUCCGCGGAAGUCACGCUGAUGUCCGAGUCCAGCGAGAAGCCCGAGCCGCCCCCGUCCGUCAGCGAAGUGGAGGCCCCGCCCGUGAGCGAUGAGCCCUCCAAGAAGAGCGAGGAAGGAGGUAUGGAGAGGCCCCAGCCUUCCUCCCUCGGGCCCCCUGACCCGCAGGUGCUCAGCAGCCCCAAGGGACCUUCCGAGCAGAGCCAGGACUGUGGCCUCCGCUUGGGCUCCCUGGGGAGGGCUCUGCUCUCCGGCUGGGGCAGACCUUGUACAUGGCACCAUGUUCCGGGGCGGGGCGCUGCAGGGCUGUGCUGCGCUCGGAGCCCCACCUCCCUGCUCCAGGGCCUGUGGGAGUGGUGGUUAGACCCGGGAGAGCGAGCGUGAGAUAGCCCAGCAGCGCCUGGGGAAACCAGGGGUCCAGUGUGGCACUGCCGGGCGACCCCACGGGGACCCGGGCGGCCUGGCCCUAGCCUGUCUCUGUGGGACCUUCCUGGGGGGCGGGGGUUGGCCUUGUCCAGGGGCCACAGCGUGGGGGCCGCCGGUUCUGAGCAGAUAACUCACCAUCGGGACGCCGCACCACGAUGGGUUCCCAGAGCCCGAGGUCCUCUCCCGAGGUCACUGCAAACUCCACUUGGGGGAAAAAUGUUUCUCCUUGUUUUUCCUUGCUUAGCUACCUUUACCAUCUCAGAAGCCGAGGAGACUGAGGAAUGAGGUGCGGGAAGGGGUGCGGGCUGCUGGGAGCCCCCCCAACCCUGGCUGGGACCGCCGCUAGGGGAUGUGAGCAAGUGACU